GACGAACGCUGGCGGCGUGCUUAACACAUGCAAGUCGAGCGGAAAGGCCCUUCGGGGUACUCGAGCGGCGAACGGGUGAGUAACACGUGAGUAACCUGCCCCAGACUUUGGGAUAACCCUCGGAAACGGGGGCUAAUACCGGAUACGACACAGCUUCGCAUGGGGUCUGUGUGGAAAGUUUUUCGGUUUGGGAUGGGCUCGCGGCCUAUCAGCUUGUUGGUGGGGUGAUGGCCUACCAAGGCGACGACGGGUAGCCGGCCUGAGAGGGCGACCGGCCACACUGGGACUGAGACACGGCCCAGACUCCUACGGGAGGCGGCAGUGGGGAAUAUUGCACAAUGGGCGGAAGCCUGAUGCAGCGACGCCGCGUGAGGGAUGACGGCCUUCGGGUUGUAAACCUCUUUCAGCAGGGACGAAGCGUAAGUGACGGUACCUGCAGAAGAAGCGCCGGCCAACUACGUG
rnacentral:rRNA from 1 species